GGAAAGAAAUCUCCCCUCCGUGAUGUGCUCCAGUCCCCCAUGGUGAAGUUGCGGCUGCUGCGAGUUUCCCCUGGCCGAGCUCCUCUGUAGCCGGUGGAUGUGUGCGGCUUCCACGUUGCAACUCCUCACGUACCAGCGGCCCUCCACCUCGCUGGUUGGUCUUCCGUGUGGGUACUCGCCUUCAACCUAGACAGCUGGUCCCCGUCUGAGUGCUCGACAGCGGCGGCGCCGCCAACUGCUCGUGAUCUUGGAGCGCGUCAUCCCAACCAGAUCCUCCCCACCCCACUCUUGCCGCCGCGAAAAGUUGGUCAGCACGCCGCCAGACCAUCGAGCCAGUGCUCGCAGUGGCGCCUCCCCACCGCCCCACGCAGCAGAAGGAGGUCAACUUCGUGGGUAAGUUGUGGUAUCCGCAAGUGCGCAUGCCGGCGGCUGCCGUCCACAGUUGUGGUCAUUCACGACUGGGCCCAAGAGUUGGAUCGAGCCUGCCGUAGCGGGGGAUUCUCGCCGGUGCUCUCAACGAGGCACAACAGAUCAGGGUGUGUGUGGCUCCACCGAUCGAGCAGGAAGGACAGGGUGUGGAGACGGCCGGUGGAGCAGAUGUAGGGGAUUGCGGUGCAGGCUGCGGAGGGGAGGGGCCACGCCAGAAUUGCGAGAGGAAGAGGAGAGUUGGGGGUGACGCCCCAGCUCGUCGCUCCAGCGCCACGACUGCUGCUCUUGCCAGGAACUGGCUACUUCCGGUGCCAGCCGUCAAGCAUCGACGGGCUGGCGCUCCAUCUCCUCCAUCCUUGGCGUCAGCGUUCUGCCAUCCCCGCAAUCGAGAUUGACGACCGGAUGAGGCUCUGCUUUUCUCUCUGUUUGCAAAUUGGUUUUGUUCCUUACUGUUUAUUGAUUGAUAUUUGUAGGCAUGUUGCUGAUUGAUGCCAUGCCCAAUCUGUGUCCCUCUGGUUGUCGGCAGGUUGUAUCCGCCUCUAUUUUUCGUGUUCCAUGACAACUUGGAAGACAUCGUCAUGCUCUGUUUCCUCUUCUUGCCUGGGUAGUAGAUCUCUGCGCGGGCGAGCCGAAGGCGGUAAACGAUCUGAUGUUGGAAUAGCGAGGGUACCGCCAUAUAUUAUUCUGUCAAAUGCGAGUUGAUACCUGAGAAGAAAUAUUCACAUGUUUGAUGUGAGAAAUAUGCAGAGGAAGAAGCCUUUGAUAUUGUUUCCCUUCACAGAAGAAGUUGUGCGGAGAGUGUUGUCAUACUCUUUGUGGGAUGGCUUUUGCUUAUUAUUCACCACCAUUAAGGCAUUAACCAGUUAGUUAUAACAGCUGGUUCUGCUAAAAGAAUGUUAUCUUUCAAGAAAACAUCCUUGAGACUAUCAGUUGUGUUGAAAUAUCUAUCUGAAUAUAUGCACUGGUUUUGUU